rnacentral:rRNA from 1 species
AUGGGUUUGGUAAUUUUUGGGUCGCUAGGUUCGGCAGUGUGCAGCAGUGGUUUUUUUUCCAAUGGUUUUGUUUGUCAGUUACUUUGUAUGUCUGAAUAUAAGUUACUAGUUACUAGUUUCGACAGUUUCGACAGUGUUAGCAUCUGUUUCAGACUAAAAUUCAUUUUUGCUAUCUAUGUCAGCCAGUAUAACUACUCACCUGCUACAUCUGUCAGUGUCAAUGGUUAUAUGAUACCUUUUUUCAAUGCUAUCUAUGUUAGUGUUUUUGUUCAGAAUGACCAAAAACGACUCACAACUGGGACCUAG